GGAGGAAAGUAGGGGAUCGCAAGACCUUGCGCUUUUGGAGUGGCCGAUGCCUGAUUAGCUAGUUGGUAGGGUAAUGGCUUACCAAGGCGACGAUCAGUAGUUGGUCUGAGAGGACGACCAGCCACACUGGGACUGAGACACGGCCCAGACUCCUACGGGAGGCAGCAGUGGGGAAUUUUGGACAAUGGGCGAAAGCCUGAUCCAGCAAUGCCGCGUGAGUGAAGAAGGCCUUCGGGUUGUAAAGCUCUUUCAGUCGAGAAGAAAAGGUUGUGACUAAUAAUCACAACUCAUGACGGUAUCGACAGAAGAAGCACCGGCUAACUACGUGCCAGCAGCCGCGGUAAUACGUAGGGUGCGAGCGUUAAUCGGAAUCACUGGGCGUAAAGGGUGCGCAGGCGGCUUUGUAAGUCAGAUGUGAAAUCCCCGGGCUUAACCUGGGAAUUGCGUUUGAAACUACAAAGCUAGA
rnacentral:rRNA from 1 species